rnacentral:rRNA from 1 species
GGGCCCCGCACAAGCAGCGGAGCGUGUGGUUUAAUUCGAUGUUACACGAAGAACCUUACCUGGGAUUGACAUGGAGGUGGCAGGGAAGCGAAAGCGGACCGACUCUUCGGAGAGCCUUCACAGGUGCUGCAUGGCUGUCGUCAGCUCGUGCCGUGAGGUGUCGGGUUAAGUCCCGUAACGAGCGCAACCCUUGCCCUUAGUUACAAGUGUCUAGGGGGACUGCCGGCGGGAAGCCGGAGGAAGGUGGGGAUGACGUCAAGUCAGCAUGGCCCUUAUAUCCGGGGCUACACACACGCUACAAUGGUCGGUGCAAAGGGCAGCGAAGCCGCGAGGUGGAGCGAAUCCCAGCAAAGCCGACCGUGGUACGGAUAGCAGGCUGCAACUCGCCUGCUUGAAGCUGGAGUUGCUAGUAACCGCGCGUCAGCAUAGUGCGGUGAAUACGUUCCCGGGGCUU